CAGUAGCCACGGUAAUACCAGCAGCCCAAGUGGUGGUCGCGUUUAUUGGGCCUAAAGCGCUCGUAGCCUGACCGGUAAGUUCCCCGUGAAAUCGGGUCGCCCAACGAUUCGGCUUGCGGGGAAUACUGUCGGUCUUGGGGCCGGGAGACGCCGAGGGUACUCCGGGGGUAGCGGUGAAAUGCUGUAAUCCUCGGGGGACUACCAGUGGCGAAGGCGCUCGGCGAUAACGGGCCUGACGGUGAGGGGCGAAAGCUGGGGGCGCGAACGGGAUUAGAUACCCCCGUAGUCCCUGUCUCUUAUA
rnacentral:rRNA from 1 species